rnacentral:rRNA from 1 species
GUGGGGAAUCUUAGACAAUGGGCGCAAGCCUGAUCUAGCCAUGCCGCGUGAGCGAUGAAGGCCUUAGGGUUGUAAAGCUCUUUCGUGGGGGAAGAUAAUGACUGUACCCCAAGAAGAAGCCCCGGCUAACUCCGUGCCAGCAGCCGCGGUAAUACGGAGGGGGCUAGCGUUGUUCGGAAUUACUGGGCGUAAAGCGCACGUAGGCGGACUGGAAAGUCAGGGGUGAACUCCCGGGGCUCAACCCCGGAACUGCCUUUGAAACUCCCAGGCUUGAGUUCGAGAGAGGUGAGUGGAAUUCCGAGUGUAGAGGUGAAAUUCGUAGAUAUUCGGAGGAACACCAGUGGCGAAGGCGGCUUCCUGGCACAAUACUGACGCUCAUGUGCGAAAGCUAGGGCAGCGAACGGGAUUAGAAACCCGUGUAGUCC